CAGCUUCUCCAGCAGAGAGAGUAUUUUGGUCAGUAUGGAAAGGUGCUGAAGGUGUCUAUAUCUCGGACAGCAGCUGGUGCUAUUCAACAUUUUGCAAACAAUACUUGUAGUGUAUAUAUUACUUACUCAAAGGAGGAGGAAGCGGUUCGAUGUAUUCAAUCAGUGCAUGGGUUUACCUUGGAUGGUAGAUCAUUGAGGUGGGAAAUGGCUACAUUCAAGAUUUAUGCUCUAUUUUGUAUUCUCUUAUGUAGGUGUUGGGAUUUCAUUUUGCAGGGCAUGCUUUGGAAUCACAAAGUAUUGUCAUGCCUGACUGAGAAAUGUGGCAUGAUUUCUGAAUUAUUGAUUGGAAAUUGGACUAUUGGUUAUAGGUGAGGAUUGAAAUUUUUUUGGUGCAGUCUUGCAGCAAUCCUGUUUGUCUAUAUUUGCAUGAGAUUGGCACACAAGAAGAUAGUUUCGCUAAAGAUGGAAUAAUAUCAGCAUACACAAGAAAUUCACUGUACCUCAGAAAUUCUUCAGUCAUUUUUAUGUGUUGGCUGUGGUGUGGACAACAUUGUUGCUGGUCACAACUUGGUUUUAUGCAUAUAAAGAGGCACCAUUGGUCUCUGGGCCUUUACAAUACUCCACUAUUGUCAGCUACUUAA